GAUGAACGCUGGCGGCGUGCCUAAUACAUGCAAGUCGAGCGAACAGAUUAGGAGCUUGCUCCUUUCACGUUAGCGGCGGACGGGCGAGUAACACGUGGGUAACCUAUCUAUCAGACUGGAAUAACUGCGGGACACCGGGGCUAGUGCCGGAUAACAUGUUGAACUUCAUGGUUCUACAAUGAAAGGUUGAAUUGCUGUCACUUAUCAAUGGAACCUGGCCGUAUUGGCUAGUUGGUGAGGUAAGGGCUCACCAAGGCAACGAUACGUAACGGACCUGCGAGGGUGAUCGGCCACACUGGAACGGAGACAGGGUCCAGACCCCUACGGGGGGCGGCGGUAGGGAAUCUUCCGAAUGGGGGAAAGGCCGGACGGAGCAACGCCGGGGGAGGGAUGAGGGUCUUCGGAUGUAAAAACUCUUUUAUUAGGGAAGAACAAAGGCGUAAGGAACUGUGCGCGUCUUGACGGUACCUAAUCAGAAAGCCACGGCUAACUACGUG
rnacentral:rRNA from 1 species